rnacentral:rRNA from 1 species
CCUACGGGGGGCAGCAGUGGGGAAUAUUGCACAAUGGGCGCAAGCCUGAUGCAGCCAUGCCGCGUGUGUGAAGAAGGCCUUCGGGUUGUAAAGCACUUUCAGCGGGGAGGAAGGCGUUAAGGUUAAUAACCUUGUCGAUUGACAUUACCCGCAGAAGAAGCACCGGCUAACUCCGUGCCAGCAGCCGCGGUAAUACGGAGGGUGCAAGCGUUAAUCGGAAUUACUGGGCGUAAAGCGCACGCAGGCGGUCUGUCAAGUCGGAUGUGAAAUCCCCGGGCUCAACCUGGGAACUGCAUUCGAAACUGGCAGGCUAGAGUCUUGUAGAGGGGGGUAGAAUUCCAGGUGUAGCGGUGAAAUGCGUAGAGAUCUGGAGGAAUACCGGUGGCGAAGGCGGCCCCCUGGACAAAGACUGACGCUCAGGUGCGAAAGCGUGGGGAGCAAACAGGAUUAGAUACCCCAGUAGUC